AACGAACGCUGGCGGCAGGCCUAACACAUGCAAGUCGAGCGAAGCCUUCGGGCUUAGCGGCGGACGGGUGAGUAACGCGUGGGAAUGUGCCCUUUGGUACGGAAUAGCCCCGGGAAACUGGGAGUAAUACCGUAUGUGGUCGAGAGACGAAAGAUUUAUCGCCAAAGGAUCGGCCCGCGUUGGAUUAGGUAGUUGGUGGGGUAAUGGCCUACCAAGCCGACGAUCCAUAGCUGGUUUGAGAGGAUGAUCAGCCACACUGGGACUGAGACACGGCCCAGACUCCUACGGGAGGCAGCAGUGGGGAAUCUUAGACAAUGGGGGAAACCCUGAUCUAGCCAUGCCGCGUGAUCGAUGAAGGCCUUAGGGUUGUAAAGAUCUUUCAGUGGGGAAGAUAAUGACUGUACCCACAGAAGAAGCCCCGGCUAACUCCGUGCCAGCCGCCGCGGUAA
rnacentral:rRNA from 1 species